rnacentral:rRNA from 1 species
CGGCGGACGGGUGAGUAACGCGUGGGUAACCUACCCUGUACACACGGAUAACAUACCGAAAGGUAUGCUAAUACGGGAUAAUAUAUUUGAGAGGCAUCUCUUAAAUAUCAAAGGUGAGCCAGUACAGGAUGGACCCGCGUCUGAUUAGCUAGUUGGUAAGGUAACGGCUUACCAAGGCGACGAUCAGUAGCUGACCUGAGAGGGUGAUCGGCCACAUUGGAACUGAGACACGGUCCAA